GACACAGUGAGCCAGAGAGGAGCGCGGCAGUCUUAUGUUGUCAUAAUGUUUGAGACAGUUUGGAAGAGAGCAACUUUUAUGUGCAACGCGGGCGAAAUUCAGGAUGCAAAAGAUACCAUUGACAGUCUGCACGUAAACAAGAACUGCAAGAUUUGCUGACCUCAAAGUAAUCUGAAGAGAUGCCUCAAGAUCAACCCAGACAAGGGAUCAAGAGUGGAGAAGAAUGCUACCAGAAAGCAGCUGGCGGUCAGUCCAAAGGUUCUUUCCCUGAUAACAAAAAUUGCGGACUAUGAAUGGAGGGAGUAAAAAAACACUUUUCAGAAGGGAGACCAUUGCAAUCCAAUGUCCCUUGUUCUUUCUCAUGCACAGUUCAUGUUGGUCUCACUACUGUAUUCUUGUGUUCUUUAAUUGUAUAAUGUAUAGAAUUGGUUCACAGUACUGGACAAAGUUACUACUUUAAAAUUAUAGGCUACAGUACCUUCAGUUAAGUUACUGCAAUAGUGGAAGCAAGCAUAACACUGCACCUGGAUUAAAACUUUAUUUUAUCUUUCCAAAACGGGCCAGUUUUUAAAGGCAUCUGAAGUACCAGACAGACUUUUUAAAUUGUAUUGCUUGUUUUUUUGUUUCAAGCCUCUUUAUUUCACUGUGAACAUUAGCCGAACCUACUGUAAACUGUUCUUGAACUCUCGCCCACAAGCAGUCAAUUGUUGGACUGCUAGCAGUAUGUAGCCAUGCCACGUUAAGCUUUGUAAGCAAGUAUGUUGCUAGAGCAGAAACUGUUCUCUAUUCUGAUCUGUUGGUCAACAGAAUAAAAUGAAUGUUGAACAGUAGUAACUGUGUCCUGGUUGUUUUUAAGAGCUGUUAUUGUUAAGCUAAAUCUUUUUAUAAUUUGUCAUUUAACUACUCUGUUAUAGCUCGAUAUUUUUGAAAUUGUCCAUUACA